rnacentral:rRNA from 1 species
GAUGAACGCUGGCGGCGUGCUUAACACAUGCAAGUCGAGCGAGACCUUCGGGUCUAGCGGCAGACGGGUUAGUAACGCGUGGGAACGUGCCCUUCUCUGCGGAAUAGCCACUGGAAACGGUGAGUAAUACCGCAUACGCCCUUCGGGGGAAAGAUUUAUCGGAGAAGGAUCGGCCCGCGUUAGAUUAGAUAGUUGGUGGGUAACGGCCUACCAAGUCUACGAUCUAUAGCUGGUUUUAGAGGAUGAUCAGCAACACUGGGACUGAGACACGGCCCAGACUCCUACGGGAGGCAGCAGUGGGGAAUCUUAGACAAUGGGCGCAAGCCUGAUCUAGCCAUGCCGCGUGUGUGAUGAAGGUCUUAGGAUCGUAAAGCACUUUCGCCAGGGAUGAUAAUGACAGUACCUGGUAAAGAAACCCCGGCUAACUCCGUG